rnacentral:lncRNA from 1 species
UGGUUCAGUUGUUUAUUAAUCUGAGGAAGCAGGACAAGGACAGAGCUCUACCUUGUAAACAGAAUUGAUUCUUUAUAUCCUGUGAAAUCCAACCUCUUUAUUCUUGGGUUAAACUAGAGAACACUCUGCCCUGUUAUCUCUUUCCUGUUGGAUGCCAGGCAAGUUUCUGAUCAGAAAUACGGCCUAUGGAACUUGGGUCAAAGAUCUGUAUGUUUAACUUGGUUCCAGGAAGGGGACUUUCCAACAGAUUCUCAGGCAAAGUUUCUAUCUGUAACUAGAGUUACGGUCAAAGAUCUUUCCAUUUUGAGGUUCCUCAUCUCCUUUUAGGUUCUUUGGUUCCUUUGGAAGUAUGGCACUCUUUAGAAACAGGCCAGAUCUGGUGCAGGGAAAAGAAAAAGGGACAUGGAAUUAUCCUGGUCUCCUGCUGAAGAGUUGCCUAUGGACUCCUGGAAAGGAAAAACAAGAUUUAGAAAAAUUUUCCAGGUCUAAGCCAUUGGUCUGCAGGAUGGCUGUUUUUUCCUGGUUCCCACUCCUCCUCAUCAUCAUGGUAAGGACUGACUGCUCAGAGCCAGUUUUGAGUGAGAGGACUGAGCAGCCCUUCUGCUUCCUGGUCUCUUGUGGUACCCCUGGGGCAAAUGGGGCUCCUGGAAAAGAUGGAAGAGAUGAGCUCAAGGGAGAAAAGGGACAACCAGGUACAGACCAGUUGGGAUCCUUCUCCGUGGGUCUUCAUUACUACAGGUGUUCCUACAUGAUGACUGCCUCUUCCAGGAGUUCAGACUCAACACAUGAGGUCACAUUUAUCAACGAUGUUGAAUUGUUUCUCUAGAUACAAUCUCUGUCCAAAAACCUUUUCUAUAAACAAGGGAGUGAAAUGAUCAAGGCUUUUCUAUUGAUCCCACUGCGGUAAUCUGGCUCCUCCAGUUUCCACAUAGUCAAAGGAAGAAUUAAGUUGGUGCCUUACCAAAAUAGGCAGUGUAUGGGGCCAUUUUCAAAGGCAAUCUUUUGAGAAUCUCUCAAACCACUCAUCUUUGGUGAAACCUGUGGGAUACUGCUUGCUUAGUAAGACUUAAAAUAAACACUGAUUACUGGGAAGAAAGUCUGGGAAC